ACUCGAGUGGCGAACGGGUGAGUAACACGUGGGUGAUCUGCCCUGCACUUCGGGAUAAGCCUGGGAAACUGGGCCUAAUACCGGAUAGGAGCCAUUUUUAGUGUGAUGGUUGGAAAGUUUUUCGGUGUAGGAUGAGCUCGCGGCCUAUCAGCUUGUUGGUGGGGUAAUGGCCUACCAAGGCGGCGACGGGUAGCCGGCCUGAGAGGGUGGACGGCCACAUUGGGACUAAGAUACGGCCCAG
rnacentral:rRNA from 1 species